AACGCACGAGACCUGCGGACCUGCGGAGGGAUCAUUAUCAAUUUACAGCGGACUUCGGUCCUGUCUGCACCCUUGUCUUUUGCGUACUAUAUGUUUCCUCGGUGGGCUUGCCUGCCGAUAGGACACUUAUAAACUCUUUUGUAAUUGCAAUCAGCGUCAGAAAACUAUAAUAGUUACAACUUUCAGCAACGGAUCUCU
rnacentral:misc_RNA from 1 species